GAGGUCAUGACCUGAGUUGAAGUUGGACACUUAACCAACUGAGCCACCCAGGCGCUCCUCUGAUGAAUAAUUUUAUCUAAAAUGUUUUUCCUAUUGUGUUAUUGUAAUAUCCACUGAAGAGAGGGGAAGGCCUCUUCAAUAUUUAGUUGGUAGCUAUGGAGUUAAAAUGAGGUGUAGGUUGUUGAAAAGAAAGGCUGCUUAAGUUUUUCCAUUCCUACGUUUUUAGGACUAGGAAGGAAGUCCUCUGCAAUAACAUUUUGUAUAUCUGGGUAAAAUGAAGUGUAUGUUUGUCACAAUUAUUAAAAUAAUACUAGCAAGAAUUUUAACUCUCUAUUAAUAGAAAACGUUUGCUUUCUAUUGUUCAGUGCCUAUAUUCUUCAGAUUCACAAGCUAACUGCUCAGCUCUUCAAUUUGUUUUGGCAGAUAAGGGAUACCAAUGCUGGCCAGAAGGCAGGAGAGGUGAAGGAAAUGACUGCAAAAGUUCCCAAGGUUUUCAACAGCUACAAGGAAGACACAAAAGGAUGGGAAUCUUCUAAAGGGAAAAUUUCCCGAGUCCCAAGGAACAGGGGAGAACUGUAGGAGAACUUCAAGAACCACAAGACUUGGGUUUUUGCAUCUUGUCAGAAAAUCCGCACUGCUGGUAAAAACCAAGGGAAGGCCUGGCACAAACGUGACUCAGCAGAGAAAUGCCACCCACAGUCACCGACGCGGCUUCCGCAGUGGCUGAGUUGCCCUGUUUUCUCUGGAGGCUUCCCCAGCCUGGCCAAUACAUGAAUCUCUCAGAUGGGAAACUGAAGUUUUUGAAAAUGGAAAUUAAACAAAGUUGUAUAACAUUUAAAAGAAGUUUACAGUUAUGAUACUUGGCUUUUUACAUGGGUUUAAAGUCAAUUUUCUGUUGAAUAAAUAAUAUGAACCACACAUUAACCACCUAAUAGUUUUAAAAUGCCCCAAACAGCCAUCACCAUCAUUCUGAAUAGAAUCCCACUUCUUUUUAAAGACCAUGGUUAAAAGAUGAGGGGAAACAGUACCAUUAAAAGAGGAAGCAAAACAUAGUUCAAAGUCUGUUUCCAUGAGGUAAUGCAUACUGUUGACUAAUGGCCAGAGGAAUCCAAUCUAUAUCGAGAUGAAAUAUGAAGUUAAAGCAGGUGGCUGGGAGAAGUUAGAAUCCCUCCACCGGCAACCUCCGCCUCCACCUUCUUGAAUUAUUUUCUUGCUGAAGCCAAAGGGACAGAAAGCAAUGAAAGUUUUGUUGAUUGGACACAGGAACUUGUCAGAGUGAGAUGGAAGUUAUAUAUCUGAGUUCAUCUCUGGAAACUGCCAAUCUCACAUUAACUACAUCUGUAUGUGUACAUAUCUGUGUGUAUGUGUGUGUGUGUGUGUGUGCGCGCAGGCACGUGCACAGCAUGAAGCUAAUUUUGAAAGGAUCUUCAGAAUUAUUUCUGGGUAGAUAUGUUUCUGCAUAGCUAUUUUUAUCUUUUUUCU